CCUACGGGAGGCAGCAGUGAGGAAUAUUGGUCAAUGGGCGCGAGCCUGAACCAGCCAAGUCGCGUGAGGGAAGACGGUCCUAUGGAUUGUAAACCUCUUUUGCCGGGGAGCAAAAGACGCCACGCGUGGCGUUCCGAGAGUACCCGAAGAAAAAGCAUCGGCUAACUCCGUGCCAGCAGCCGCGGUAAUACGGAGGAUGCGAGCGUUAUCCGGAUUUAUUGGGGUUAAAGGGUGCGCAGGCGGAAGAUCAAGUCAGCGGUAAAAUUGAGAGGCUCAACCUCUUCGAGCCGUUGAAACUGGUUUUCUUGAGUGAGCGAGAGGUAUGCGGAAUGCGUGGUGUAGCGGUGAAAUGCAUAGAUAUCACGAAGAACUCCGAUUGCGAAGGCAGCAUGCCGGCGCUCAACUGACGCUGAUGCACGAAAGUGUGGGUAUCGAACAGGAUUAGAUACCCUUGUAGUC
rnacentral:rRNA from 1 species